CGCCUGGGGAGUACGGGUGAGGUAACGGCUCACCAAGGCAUCGACGGGUAGCUGGUCUGAGAGGAUGAUCAGCCACACUGGGACUGAGACACGGCCCAGACUCCUACGGGAGGCAGCAGUGGGGAAUAUUGCACAAUGGGCGAAAGCCUGAUGCAGCAACGCCGCGUGCGGGAUGAAGGCCCUAGGGUUGUAAACCGCUUUCAGCAGGGACGAAAAUGACGGUACCUGCAGAAGAAGCUCCGGCCAACUACGUGCCAGCAGCCGCGGUAACACGUAGGGGGCGAGCGUUGUCCGGAUUUAUUGGGCGUAAAGAGCUCGUAGGCUGUUCAGUAAGUCAGGUGUGAAAACUCGAGGCUCAACCUCGAGACGCCACCUGAUACUGCUGUGACUAGAGUCCGGUAGGGGAGUGUGGAAUUCCUGGUGUAGCGGUGAAAUGCGCAGAUAUCAGGAGGAACACCAGCAGCGAAGGCGGCACUCUGGGCCGGUACUGACGCUCAGGAGCGAGAGCACGGGGAGCGAACAGGAUUAGAUACCCUGGUAGUCCAUGCCGUAAACGUUGGGCACUAGGUGUGGGUCCCAUCCAACGGGAUCCGCGCCGCAGCUAACGCAUUAAGUGCCCCGCCUGGGGAGUACGG
rnacentral:rRNA from 1 species